rnacentral:lncRNA from 1 species
UUGUCCUGGAGCUGUAAGUUUCCUGUGUUGAUUUUCUGUUCCUCUUUGUCAGGAUCAAACUCCCACAGAAGAACUCGCAGACUCACUCCAGACGCUUCAGAUCACACACACAGACAAUACAGCAAACGGUUUCAACGUGCUAACAGGAAACGGCCCGGUUCAGGAAGUGGCUGGAUGUUCUGUGAGCAAGGAACAAAUCACAUCGAGGGGUAAGAACUGCACAUUGUACGUAUGUAGGGUGACCAGACGUCCCAGGCUCUGCUCUGCCCCCUGUCCCUGUGGAUUUCUCCAAAACCGUUUAUUUGUCCCAAUUUUAUACAAGCUCCAUCCCAGUUUUUCACCAGUGUCAUCCGCACAAAUUCCCAUUAUGUCCCGGUUUUUAAUUUGGAAAACCUGGUCACCUUUAUUUUAUUUUCCAUGCAGUGAAUCACAAUUCUGACAUUUCUGUUUAAUUCCUCAGACCAGCCAGUGUCUUUCCCGGUCCGUGUGAGUGACGCGGAGCUGGACACGUCUCGCCCCGAACUCAAGCCUUCGUCUGUGAAACCGAUCGAAGUGUCUCUUUCUCCUCCCCUCUCCUCUUCCUCCACCUCAACAAACACAACAAACAGAUCCCCGCAGGCGCCAAAAACCGUGCCAAAAAAGUUUCAACAGUAUCAGGUGAAGUUUUUUUGAGACUGCUUUUGAUUGUAAGGUGUGAGAAUAAUUUUGGAUU